GCAUAUUGCGCAUCGUGCGACACAGCUCGAUGCACAUAUCUUUGAGAGUCCA
rnacentral:rRNA from 1 species